UGCAGAGUAGAUAAUAUGAGCAAGGCUCAUUCUCCCGAGCUGAAAAAUUUAUGGACAAGAAGUUAUCAUUGAAAUUAAAUGGUGGCAGACAUGUCCAAGGAAUAUUGCGAGGAUUUGAUCCCUUCAUGAAUCUUGUAAUAGAUGAAUGUGUGGAGAUGGCAACUAGUGGACAACAGAACAAUAUUGGAAUGGUGGCAAUACGAGGAAACAGUAUCAUCACGUUAGAAGCCUUAGAACUAGUAUAAAUAAAGGCUGUUCAGAGAAAUCCGUGUCCUCCCUCCAGAAGCCCUGUUUAAUUAUGACUUGAAAAUUGGGUCAUGUACAUUUUCAUAUUAAACUUUUUGUUAAAUAAACUUC